AUAAAAGUAUCCAGUGCAAGUUUCAAUUUCAGUUAGUUUUUAUUUUUAAACUUUUCAAAUCGCUUUUCGUAUAUAUAUCACAUGAUUAUAUGUUCAAGUUCAACAAGUUCUUCUAAAGAAGCAUUAACAUUACACAAUUAACGAAGAGUUUUUUGCGUCGGAACGAUGAGGUGUCGAGGACCUUGGCGGAAGACAUGGCGGAGCACGGACUUUCGAAAUCGUGUACCUGAACGUACCUGCCCAUCGAAUCCACACUGAAAGCGGAUAGGUUAUAUUCUAGUCCAUGGGUCCAGCGGGUCCUCGCCGGAAAGGAAGUCGGAGGCAUAGCAGUCACGAUUGGCAAUGGGUGUGGAUCCUACCAGCUGGAACUCCACCCGAGGCACCAAAGGCACUCCUUUUGACGAAGGCGACGGGGGAACUAAGUUAAUGUUGGGCUGUGAGGCCGUUAUGGGCUUACAUAGAUGCAGGACCUCCAGAAAGUAUAGAAGGUGCUGCAGCUUGGGAUGUGAGAGUAGUUGAUCGGCCGUCGGCCUCUGCGCAGGAUCCGGCAUCAUCAUGGACUUUAUUACCGACUGCAGCUCCAGUGAUAUUUCUGUGUUACGAGGAAGACUUUAGCAACCUGCC